rnacentral:rRNA from 1 species
GAUGAACGCUGGCGGCGUGCCUAAUACAUGCAAGUCGAGCGAACAGACGAGGAGCUUGCUCCUCUGACGUUAGCGGCGGACGGGUGAGUAACACGUGGAUAACCUACCUAUAAGACUGGGAUAACUUCGGGAAACCGGAGCUAAUACCGGAUAAUAUAUUGAACCGCAUGGUUCAAUAGUGAAAGACGGUUUUGCUGUCACUUAUAGAUGGUUCCGCGCCGCAUUAGCUAGUUGGUAAGGUAACGGCUUACCACGGCAACGAUGCGUAGCCGACCUGAGAGGGUGAUCGGCCACACUGGAACUGAGACACGGUCCAGACUCCUACGGGAGGCAGCAGUAGGGAAUCUUCCGCAAUGGGCGAAAGCCUGACGGAGCAACGCCGCGUGAGUGAUGAAGGUCUUCGGAUCGUAAAACUCUGUUAUUAGGGAAGAACAAAUGUGUAAGUAACUAUGCACGUCUUGACGGUACCUAAUCAGAAAGCCACGGCUAACUACGUG